rnacentral:rRNA from 1 species
UGUGAACCAUACCAAACUGUUGCCUCGGCGGGGUCACGCCCCGGGUGCGUCGCAGCCCCGGAACCAGGCGCCCGCCGGAGGGACCAACCAAACUCUUUCUGUAGUCCCCUCGCGGACGUUAUUUCUUACAGCUCUGAGCAAAAAUUCAAAAUGAAUCAAAACUUUCAACAACGGAUCUCUUGGUUCUGGCAUCGAUGAAGAACGCAGCGAAAUGCGAUAAGUAAUGUGAAUUGCAGAAUUCAGUGAAUCAUCGAAUCUUUGAACGCACAUUGCGCCCGCCAGUAUUCUGGCGGGCAUGCCUGUCCGAGCGUCAUUUCAACCCUCGAACCCCUCCGGGGGUCCGGCGUUGGGGAUCGGGAACCCCUAAGACGGGAUCCCGGCCCCGAAAUACAGUGGCGGUCUCGCCGCAGCCUCUCAUGCGCAGUAGUUUGCACAACUCGCACCGGGAGCGCGGCGCGUCCACGUCCGUAAAACACCCAACUUCUGAAAUGUUGACCUCGGAUCAGGUAGGAAUACCCGCUGAACUUAAGCAUAUCAAUAAGCGGAGGA